UACGUAGGCAGCGAGCGUUGUUCGGAGUUACUGGGCGUAAAGCGUGCGUAGGCGGUUGUCUAAGUCUGGUGUGAAAUCUCCCGGCUCAACUGGGAGGGUGCGCCGGAAACUGGAUGACUGGAGUGCCGGUGAGGUAAGCGGAAUUCCUGGUGUAGCGGUGAAAUGCGUAGAGAUCAGGAGGAACACCUGUGGUGUAGACAGCUUACUGGACGGUGACUGACGCUGAGGCACGAAAGCGUGGGUAGCAAACAGG
rnacentral:rRNA from 1 species